rnacentral:rRNA from 1 species
AUGCUCGGCCACCCUGAUCCGGAUGUAAUGUCAAUAUGUCAUCGCCUCAUCGGUGGCGCAUCAGGCGGAGAGGCUGCAACCUCAGGCACCCCGAAUCUGUCCAAGAAGGCCAUAUAUGGAGGCUUCCUUUCCAACUGCUCAGCCAUGGAGGCGUCUCACUGCUGCCCAUCUCAACUUGGCACCAGCGUCAACAAUAGUCCACCUCCUCUCUCUGGUGCCGCCCCGGAUGAUUCAGCACAAAGCUAUGCUCUUUCCUGUUGGCUAUUGUUUUGCUACGGCCAACUCCCUACUACGGCGACGCUAUCUGUUGAUUUGAAGACGGCGCUCCACUUCCUCUCCCCACUAUCUCCACAGGAAACUGAUGCAUUGCGCUUUAAAGUCUGCUCGGCCUCGCCUCAUUUCGUUCCAUCCUCCAGUACGGAUGGGUCUCUAACACACAAUCACUGCCUCCGGACUACGUGCUCGACGACGCCCAAGUAG